rnacentral:rRNA from 1 species
ACUCCUACGGGAGGCAGCAGUGAGGAAUAUUGGUCAAUGGGCGAGAGCCUGAACCAGCCAAGUAGCGUGCAGGAUGACGGCCCUAUGGGUUGUAAACUGCUUUUGUAUGGGGAUAAAGUCAAUCACGUGUGAUUGUUUGCAGGUACCAUACGAAUAAGGACCGGCUAAUUCCGUGCCAGCAGCCGCGGUAAUACGGAAGGUCCAGGCGUUAUCCGGAUUUAUUGGGUUUAAAGGGAGCGUAGGCUGGAGAUUAAGUGUGUUGUGAAAUGUAGACGCUCAACGUCUGACUUGCAGCGCAUACUGGUUUCCUUGAGUACGCACAACGUUGGCGGAAUUCGUCGUGUAGCGGUGAAAUGCUUAGAUAUGACGAAGAACUCCGAUUGCGAAGGCAGCUGACGGGAGCGCAACUGACGCUUAAGCUCGAAGGUGCGGGUAUCGAACAGGAUUAGAUACCCUGGUAGUCCGCACAGUAAACGAUGGAUGCCCGCUGUUGGUCCAUUAGGGUCAGCGGCCAAGCGAAAGCAUUAAGCAUCCCACCUGGGGAGUACGCCGGCAACGGUGAAACUCAAAGGAAUUGACGGGGGCCCGCACAAGCGGAGGAACAUGUGGUUUAAUUCGAUGAUACGCGAGGAACCUUACCCGGGCUUGAAUUGCAGAGGAAGGAUUUAGAGAUAAUGACGCCCUUCGGGGUCUCUGUGAAGGUGCUGCAUGGUUGUCGUCAGCUCGUGCCGUGAGGUGUCGGCUUAAGUGCCAUAACGAGCGCAACCCCUGUCUUUAGUUGCCAUCAGGUUAAGCUGGGCACUCUGGAGAUACUGCCACCGUAAGGUGUGAGGAAGGUGGGGAUGACGUCAAAUCAGCACGGCCCUUACGUCCGGGGCUACACACGUGUUACAAUGGGGGGUACAGCGAGUUGGAUGCCCGCAAGGUCAUUCUAAUCAAUAAAGCCUCCCUCAGUUCGGACUGGGGUCUGCAACCCGACCCCACGAAGCUGGAUUCGCUAGUAAUCGCGCAUCAGCCAUGGCGCGGUGAAUACGUUCCCGGGCCUUGUACACACCGCCCGUCAAGCCAUGGGAGUCUGGAGUACCUAAAGUCCGUAACCGCGAGGGUCGGCCUAGGGUAAUACAGGUGACUGGGGCUAAGUCGUAACAAGGUAGCCGUACCGGAAGGUGCGGCUG